UCCUUGAUUUGCCUCUGUGUUCUCCCAUG
rnacentral:piRNA from 1 species